rnacentral:lncRNA from 1 species
UUGCUUAUAAUAUGGGACGGAGGGAGUAUGUCGCUUCCAGGACCUAUACGCUCGAUUUUUGGUAUGAUCGAGGUGAAAGGUUUGUCAUAAAAGUAUUAUUUAUAGUAGUGACAAUAAAUGAAAACAAACAUGUAAUCAUUCUCUAAAAUCUCCCAAAAGCAUCCGUCGAAACAUGCAAACCACUUUACUCAUUUUUAGAGCAUUCUCAUGAUACACUAGUUGAAACAACAACCACAUACAAUUGACAGAAAAAAAAAACUACUGACAC